UAAUUGCCAUAUGUGCAAGGAUCAGUUGCC
rnacentral:piRNA from 1 species